CAAGGACCUGUCUUGUUCACUGCUAUAUUCCCAAUACCAGGCACCUACUAAAAGCUCAGGCCCUGACCAGGCUUGGGAAUUUGCACUGGGACAGGAAUCAUUCUACUGCUUCUGGAUGGUGCAGAGAGAAGGGAUGAAAGGUAUUUCACCACCGUCCCAUCUACACUUGAUGAAAUACUAUGUUUCCUUCAAGAUCCAGUUUGAAUGGAAACUUGGAAAGUUUCGGAGUCCUUUCCUGUCACUUCAAUGUGUGUAUAUUAGACUGUCUUUUCCUGGAGAACUAUGAGAGU